ACUCAGAAUCAGGGACACGGUGCGGUUGGGCAGUACGGCGGGCUGUAAAGUUUCCACCAAGUCGCCUCCGCUGCAGACCACUUUGAUGCGCAGAGCCGGGCGGCCGGGCCCCUUGGCUCGCUCGGCGGCGCAGAGGCAACGGUCCACGAUGAGGUCGGGGCAGUUCCUGCUGCCCCCGCACAGCCCCAGCACGGCGGCCACCAGGCAGAGGCGGCGGCACAGCCCACGCAUGCUGAGCCAGCGAGCGAGCCCCGGCCGCCGCGCCGCGCAUGGCACGCGCCGAUCCGCGCCGCUCCGCGGGCAGCGCUCUCCCCUCCACGCCUCCC
rnacentral:lncRNA from 1 species